rnacentral:lncRNA from 1 species
UUCUAUCAAACAGUGAGGUAACGUUGCUUUUUUUUUUUUUUUCUUCUGCAGGACCUUGCCAGGCCAAGAAUUGAGAAAAACAUCUGCAUUUUCUUUUGAGUUGGGCGUGUCCUUUUCAUGUUCCUCCACAUGAGCAGAAGAAAGAGAGAGUUCUAUGGCCCAGAUCCUCAGUGAGGAGACAGCAUGAUAGGGGUCAAUGAGUUGUUAGUGGUAUGCAACCUUCAGCAGGAAGAAUAAUUGCUGGCAACCUGAGUUUUCUCACGACACAGGAGCUUGAUCACACAACUAAUUUAUUUAAUCAAGGAAAGUUCAGAAAGAUAGAACUACUGAAUUUUGAAUAUAUGGGCAUUAGACAAGAUUGCACAAGGAUGCAUAAAACUUGAGAUAUCUGCAGUGAAAUGGCAGUGACAAUAAAAUUAUGCCACAAGACUUUUGUGUGUUAGCC